rnacentral:lncRNA from 1 species
UUUGAAUACAUUCAUCCUUUAAGAUGUGUAUCAACUGUCAUCUCUUUUGUGCCCUAGGCAAAGAUGCCAUCGUAUCCUAAAUGAGGUGCACCCUGCUCCAGGAACUGGGAAGACUCGAGCAUGGGGAAUGCAGUUGAAACGCAUCUCUGAACCCCGCUCCAGGAACUGGGAAGACUCGAGCAUGGGGAAUGCAGUUGAAACGCAUCUCUGAACCCCUUUUUGAGGAAGAAGAAGGAAACAGAGAAACAGGAAGAGGAGGAGGAG